UACGUAGGGCGCAAGCGUUGUCCGGAAUUAUUGGGCGUAAAGAGCUCGUAGGCGGUCUGUCGCGUCUGCUGUGAAAACUCAGGGCUUAACCCUGAGCUUGCAGUGGGUACGGGCAGACUAGAGUGCGGUAGGGGAGACUGGAAUUCCUGGUGUAGCGGUGAAAUGCGCAGAUAUCGGGAGGAACACCGGUGGCGAAGGCGGCCUUCUGGACAGUGACUGACGCUGAGA
rnacentral:rRNA from 1 species